rnacentral:rRNA from 1 species
UUGAACGCUGGCGGAAUGCUUUACACAUGCAAGUCGAGCGGCAGCGCGGGGCAACCUGGCGGCGAGCGGCGAACGGGUGAGUAACAUAUCGGAACGUACCCUAUCGUGGGGGAUAACACAUCGAAAGAUGUGCUAAUACCGCAUACGACCUGAGGGUGAAAGCGGGGGAUCGCAAGACCUCGCGCGACAGGAGCGGCCGAUAUCGGAUUAGCUAGUUGGUGAGGUAAAGGCUCACCAAGGCGACGAUCCGUAGCUGGGCUGAGAGGACGACCAGCCACACUGGAACUGAGACACGGUCCAGACUCCUACGGGAGGCAGCAGUGGGGAAUUUUGGACAAUGGGGGCAACCCUGAUCCAGCCAUUCCGCGUGAGUGAAGAAGGCCUUCGGGUUGUAAACUGCUGUCACCCGGGACGAAGAAUUGACGGUACCGGGAGAGGAAGCCACGGCUAACUACGU